UCAAAUGAAGUCUCCACAGAAAUCCCUUGAACCUGUAUGUUUUUUAUGAAAAUACAGUGUGCACCUCAAGACGUCGAGCUAUGUUUGACGACUUAACCAUUGGAACCAGUUGAAUUACGGAGUCAACUUCGCUUUUGUAUUUUUUUUA
rnacentral:lncRNA from 1 species